CUGCCCACUGAAAUAAAUUUAAAGGGCUGCAGUAUAUUGACUGUACAAAGGUAGCAUAAUCAUUAGUCUUUUAAUUGAAGACUUGUAUGAAUGAUUGGAUGAAAUAUAAGCUGUCUCUUUAUAAAAAAUAAAAUUUAAUUUUUUAGUAAAAAAGCUAAAAUAAUUUUAAAAGACGAGAAGACCCUAUAGAGUUUAAUAUUUAAGAAAAUUUUAUUAUUAUAUUAAAGUUAAUUUUAAAAAUUAUGGUAAAUAUUUCAUUGGGGUGAUGGAAAAAUUAAUAAAACUUUUUUUAAAUAAUAAACAUUAAUAAAUGAUAUUAUGAUCCAUAAUUUAUGAUUAAAAGAAAAAAUUACCUUAGGGAUAACAGCGUAAUUUUUUUUUUUAGUUCAAAUAAAAAAAAGAGUUUGCGACCUCGAUGUUGGAUUAAGAUAAAAUUUAAAUGUAGAAGUUAAAAAUUUUGG
rnacentral:rRNA from 1 species